rnacentral:rRNA from 1 species
UACGAAGGGGGCUAGCGUUGUUCGGAAUUACUGGGCGUAAAGCGCGCGCAGGCGGUUUCUCAAGUCAGCGGUGAAAGCCCGGAGCUCAACUCCGGAACUGCCAUUGAAACUGUGAAACUUGAGGACGAGAGAGGUGAGUGGAAUUCCCAGUGUAGAGGUGAAAUUCGUAGAUAUUGGGAAGGACACCGGUGGCGAAGGCGGCUCACUGGCUCGUUUCUGACGCUCAGGCGCGACAGCGUGGGGAUCAAACAGG